rnacentral:rRNA from 1 species
AACGAACGCUGGCGGCAGGCUUAACACAUGCAAGUCGAGCGCCCCGCAAGGGGAGCGGCAGACGGGUGAGUAACGCGUGGGAACGUACCCUUCGCUACGGAAUAGCUCCGGGAAACUGGAAUUAAUACCGUAUGUGCCCUACGGGGGAAAGAUUUAUCGGCAAAGGAUCGGCCCGCGUUGGAUUAGCUAGUUGGUGGGGUAACGGCCUACCAAGGCGACGAUCCAUAGCUGGUCUGAGAGGAUGAUCAGCCACAUUGGGACUGAGACACGGCCCAAACUCCUGCGGGAGGCAGCAGUGGGGAAUAUUGGACAAUGGGCGCAAGCCUGAUCCAGCCAUGCCGCGUGAGUGAUGAAGGCCUUAGGGUUGUAAAGCUCUUUCACCGGAGAAGAUAAUGACGGUAUCCGGAGAAGAAGCCCCGGCUAACUUCGUGCCAGCAGCCGCCGUAAGAC